rnacentral:lncRNA from 1 species
CCACAAACACACAAUUCUCUUGGGGAUCAUACAACGAAGAGAUUCCUUCUCCAAAUGACAAUGGUACGUUUGCCCAAGAUGGGCUUGCGGAACAGAUUAGCAUCACCAGAGACAAGACGGACUAUUUCUGGUAUCUGACAGAGUGAGUAAUACUUGAAAACUCUUUAACUUGCUGAAAUCUCACUAUCUAUCAUACAGACUCUACGGGAGAGAACUCACGGUUUGGUUCUGUUUGUGGAUAUAAUCAGCAUUACGAUCGGUACUGAUGAGAAGUUCUUGAAGACUGGUGAAGACCCUCUUCUUACUGUUGGGUCAGCUGGGCAUGCUCUUCAUGUAUUCGUUAAUGGUCAGCUUGCAGGUAAAACUAAGAUAGGCCAAUUACUCAUCCUCAUGG